UUCUGUGGCGCAACACAACCAUGUCUAUGAUUUGCAUAUUGUAAUUGUUUUCUCUCGUUUUUGCUAACAAUAAUUGCUUCCUUCCACAGACACUCUCUGCAGACUGCACUAUUCCUAAUUCCCUCUGUUUUGAUUUCGAUUAUUAAUUAUUAGUUUGAUCGUGACAGAGAAGGAUUGGUUUCAUUGAGCUUGAAAGCAAGUAAGUGUUGCAAAUCGACACUUACUUUGUUUUCUAAACUAAAAUUUCCUUAAAAAUGUUAUCUUUCGCUAGAAAUUGCUUCAAAUAUCCUGGUACCUACUUCACGAGGAAUGUUUCAAAUCAAAAUAUACUCUCCACAAACUCAUUUCGCCACAAAUUUCCUGAGCUCGAUAAUACUUUUGGGAAAAAUUUACACAAGAUAGGUUUCUUUCACCAUACCCACAAAUUUCACUCAUUUAUAUUCCAAAUCAGCACUAAUUACACUCAUUUUCCGGUCCCAUUUGCACCAUUUAUUUCUCAAUAUUCAACCAAGGCUCCUUCAAGAUCUUAUAGAAGACGGGCUCGGAAGAGGUUGUUAAAGGCCUCCAAGCCUACCCUAGACCAAGCCCAAUUUCAGUUGGUACUGUCCCAACUUCCCCCAAGGUUCACUCCUCAAGAACUAUGCAAUGUGAUUACUCAACAAGAUGACCCCUUAGUUUGCUUAGAAUUGUUUCACUGGGCGUCUCAGCAGCCCCGGUUUCGGCACGAUGAGUCCACAUUUCAUGUUGCCAUAAAGAAGCUUGGUGCUGCACAGAUGUACCAAGAGAUGGAUGACAUUGUGAACCAAUUGCUUGCGGUUCCGUUUAUUGGUUCAGAGGCAUUGUUCAACACGGUUAUAUAUUAUUUCACUCAGGCGCGGAAGUUGACUAGAGCUGUCCAUGUGUUUAAGCACAUGAAAAGUGGUAGGAAUUUGAAUUGCUGUUUUAGGCCUUCUCUUAGGACCUAUAAUAUUCUUUUUGCGGCAUUUUUGGGUAGAGGAAGCAACUCCUAUAUAAACCAUGUGUAUAUGGAAACAAUUAGGUGUUUGUUCAGGCAAAUGGUCAAUGAUGGGAUCAAGCCUGAUAUUUUUUCAUUGAACACUAUGAUCAAAGGUUAUGUGCUAUCUCUUCAUGUCAAUGAUGCAUUGAGGAUAUUUCAUCAGAUGGGUGUGAUCUAUGAUUGUCAGCCCAACGCUUUAACAUAUGAUUGCUUGAUUCACGGCUUGUGUGCACAAGGCAGAACAAAUAAUGCCAAAGAAUUAUGUUGUGAAAUGAAGACCAAAGGCUUUGUUCCUAGUAGUAAAUCAUAUAAUUCGCUUGUCAAUUCUUUGGCACUUGGUGGAGAGAUUGAGGAGGCAGUAAAUUAUCUGUGGGAGAUGACUGAUAAGCAAAGGUCGGUUGAUUUUAUUACAUAUAGGACUGUACUGGAUGAGAUAUGUAGACAAGGAACAAUUCAGGAGGGCAUGAGGUUUUUGCAGGAGUUGCAAGAAAAGGACCUUGUAGAUGGGCAUGCAUACAGGAAGCUUCUAUAUGUGCUUGAAGAUGACUAUGGGAAUUCAGUAAGCAAUGUGGGAAAUCGGUGAGCAGAAUUGGUUCAGGAGUCUCCUCCCCUCAAAAGAGAGUUCGCUUUUUUCCCUAUCAGAUGCUGCCUUCUUGGUCAGGACAGAAAAUUGACCUUGCAUAGUAUUGUUGAAGAAGAACACGGGUUGUGUGACCAAAUCCUCUGUGGUUGCCAUCAAAUAAAAGAUGGGAUUCUCAUGGCUGCUAAUAUGGGAGGUCAAAUGCAAAUUCAACUCUCAUCCCUAUUUUUUCAUAUUUCACUUUUAUAGUGUACAUAAUAAAACUUUUUUUUUGGUUGUUGAUUGCAUAUUGAGUAUGCAUAUGAACAGUCCAAUCAGUAUUUACUGUCCAAAAUCCAAUUGAGAAAUUGUUUAGUUAGUUUAUUUGGUGGAAUUGUGUUCUUCAUUGUUGUUUUUUCUUUACAAUUUUUUUGUUUAAAGAAACAAAUAUGUGCCUUCGUUUAUGUUGAAUGAUGUAGUUUUAGUAAAUUGUGAUUUAUGUUUCUGAAUUGUCAAUGUCAGCUACGUGCUGUGCAGUUCAUUGCCCAUUAGUGGCCUCACUCUAUGAUUUAUUUAAAUGAUGGUUACACUAAUAGGUUCGUAUGGGUCUACCAUGCGAUACAAGAGUGUUGAGCGUGUAAAGCCCAUUGGGAAACAUUCCCUUCUUGGUGCCAGUGGGGAAAGAUUCUGCUCUACCUCGACAAGCUUAUUCUGAAUGACAAUAUGUGGGAUGAUGGGAAUUCUUUAGGGCCUAAGGAGUUGCACAACUGUUUAACUCAAGUUAUGUGGAACUCCCUUGUUCUUGGUGGUGUGAAGAAUGGAUAAAAGUACCUUGGCAGGGUUACCAUGAUUGGUAUUAAUUUUGAAGACAAUCAUAUAGCUACUGUGGGAAAUAAUCGUGCUAGGCCAAUUCUCCGUGAAUGAGUGGCAUGAAAGUUUGACCGUUGAAGAAGGCAUCAAGUUGCUGGAAAAAUGUAUGCGUGUGCUUCUACAUCGGAAUAGAUCUGCUGUCAACAAGAUAUAGGUUAUGGAUCUUCUUAGUCCAGCCAAAUAAGAUUAUUAUGAACAACAAAAUUAAUCUUAUGAAUAUUUAAUGUAACUACUAGUUAAGCUAUUACAAACCUGUAUUGAUUAAUCCACAUAUUUGA